rnacentral:rRNA from 1 species
AUGGAGUAUCUCGGCGGGGAAACCCUCAGCGAGCAGCUGGACGUGGUGUGCGACUGCGGCCACGGCUUCUGCAUCGUCUGCGCCGAGGAGUCGCACCGGCCGGUGCCGUGCCGCACGGUGCGCGACUGGGCGGCCAAGAACAGCUCCGAGUCGGAGAGCACCAACUGGGUGAUGGCCAACACCAAGCUGUGCCCCAAGUGCCGGCGCCCCAUCGAGAAGAACACGGGCUGCAACCACAUGACCUGCCGGGACCCCUGCCGCCACGAGUUCUGCUGGAUCUGCCUCGCCGACUACCGCGUUGGCCACACCUGCAACCGCUACGAGGUCGACGAGAUCGACGCCCGGCAGGCCUACGCCAGGGCCUCCCUCGACCGGUACAUGCACUACUACGAGCGCUGGGUGACGCACGAGCACUCGCGGGUGAGGGCCAGCGAGGACAUGUUCGAGCUGGAGAGCGCCAGGGAGGGCUACCUCGAGGGCGCUGCCGCCGACGAGGCGCAGAGGCAGCUCGGCUUCCUCAUCGACGCCUACCGGCAGAUCCUCGAGGGCCGGCGGAUGCUGAGGUGGACCUACGCGUACGGCUACUUCGCCGACAGGGACAAGCUCAACCUCCUCGAGUGCCUCCAGGGCGAGGCCGAGGACUCGCUGGAGCGCCUCCACAAGAUGGCCGAGGCCGAGCGCACCGCCGACGAAAACUACUACGCUGCCGACGGCGGCGUCUCGUCCUACUUUGACAGGCUCGCCAAGCUCACCAAGCAGACCCACGAUUACUUAGAGAGCAUGGCUGAAGCUUUCCAAACCGAUCUCGACUAG